CAGAGGUGGCAAGCGUUGUUCGGAAUUACUGGGCGUAAAGGGCGCGUAGGCGGCCAUCUAAGUCAGACGUGAAAUCCCCCGGCUUAACCUGGGAACUGCGUCUGAUACUGGAAGGCUUGAGUUUGGGAGAGGGAUGUAGAAUUCCAGGUGUAGCGGUGAAAUGCGUAGAUAUCUGGAGGAAUACCGGUGGCGAAGGCGGCAUCCUGGACCAACACUGACGCUGAGGCGCGAAAGCUAGGGGAGCAAACGGGAUUAGAUACCCCGGUAGUCCUAGCCCUAAACGAUGAAUGCUUGGUGUGGCGGGUAUCGAUCCCUGCCGUGCCGAAGCUAACGCAUUAAGCAUUCCGCCUGGGGAGUACGGUCGCAAGGCUG
rnacentral:rRNA from 1 species